rnacentral:rRNA from 1 species
UCAGCAGCCGCGGUAAUACGGAGGAUCCGAGCGUUAUCCGGAUUUAUUGGGUUUAAAGGGUGCGUAGGCGGAAUAAUAAGUCAGUUGUGAAAGUUUGCGGCUCAACCGUAAAAUUGCAGUUGAUACUGUUAUUCUUGAGUGUACAUAAGGUAGGCGGAAUUCGUGGUGUAGCGGUGAAAUGCUUAGAUAUCACGGACAACUCCAAUUGCGAAGGCAGCUUACCGGGGUACAACUGACGCUGAGGCACGAAAGUGUGGGUAUCAAACAGGAUUAGAUACCCUGGUAGUCCACACAGUAAACGAUGAAUACUCGCUGUUUGCGAUAUACAGUAAGCGGCCAAGCGAAAGCAUUAAGUAUUCCACCUGGGGAGUACGCCGGCAACGGUGAAACUCAAAGGAAUUGACGGGGGCCCGCACAAGCGGAGGAACAUGUGGUUUAAUUCGAUGAUACGCGAGGAACCUUACCCAGGCUUAAAUUGCAGAUGAAUAUAGUGGAAACAUUAUAGCCAGCAAUGGCAUCUGUGAAGGUGCUGCAUGGUUGUCGUCAGCUCGUGCCGUGAGGUGUCGGCUUAAGUGCCAUAACGAGCGCAACCCUUAUUGAUAGUUACUAACAGGUUAAGCUGAGGACUCUAUCAAGACCGCCGUCGUAAGAUGCGAGGAAGGUGGGGAUGACGUCAAAUCAGCACGGCCCUUACGUCUGGGGGUACACACGUGUUACAAUGGGGGGUACAGAAGGUCGUUACCUGGCAACAGGAUGCUAAUCCCAAAAACCUCUCACAGUUCGGAUUGGAGUCUGCAACUCGACUCCAUGAAGCUGGAUUCGUUCGUAAUCGCGCAUCAGCCACGGCGCGGUGAAUACGUUCCCGGGCCUUGUACACACCGCCCGUCAAGCCAUGGGAGCCGGGGGUACCUGAAGUACGUAACCGUAAGGAGCGUCCUAGGGUAAAACUGGUGACUGGGGCUAAGUCGUAACAAGGUA